CUUUUUCUACACUGUUGUACUGAACUUUGUACCUCCACUAGAGGGCGACAUUAUCAAGUAGGAGGUGCACUACUUCUGCACUGUGUUCAACCAUUCAGUCAAUAAUAAGUGCUGCUGUGAAGAGAACAAUUCUCAGACUGAAUGUUGAACAUCAGCUAGUUUCUCCUGUUGAUUUAAACCUUGUUGUAGAGAUGGAACAUUGGCUGUGGAUUAUUCUUGCUGCUCUUUUCUUUGAGUGUAAAGGAGAAGACAGAGUGAUCCAGCCAACAGGAGAUGUCAUUGCUACUGAAGGAGAGACAGUUACUCUUGACUGUACAUUUGAGACCAGUGACACAUAUCCCUAUUUGUUCUGGUACAAACAAGAAGUCAAUGAUUUCCCAAAGUACAUGCUGAAGCGUUACUCAAACACAAAAGAGAAUGCUCCAGAUUUCCAGAAGGACAGAUUUGAUGCUACAAUCAACAAGACAUCAGUUCCUCUGAAGAUCCAGAAGCUUCAGCUGUCUGACUCUGCUGUGUACUACUGUGCUCUGCAGCCCACAGUG